rnacentral:ncRNA from 1 species
AAAAAGUUUUAUUUUAGCUUGAAUAAUGAGUUUAUGAUUUUUUUACAUGCAAAUUUUUGUAAUAAUGUAUAUAAUUUUAAAAAAAUUAUAUAAUAAAAUUUUAUUCGCAGUAUUUAAUUUUAAAUCAUUAAGGAAACUUAGAUUUAGUAAUUUAAAAUAAUAUUAACAUAAUUUGUGCCAGCAGUUGCGGUUACACUAAUAAUAUAAUUUAUUAUUAUUAAUUUAUAAUUAAUUUUAUUUUAAUUUAAUAUUAAUUUUAAUUUAUUAGGUGAAAUUUUAUAGUUAAAAUUUAUUUAAAUAUAAGUUUUUGAGGUUAUUAAAUUUUAUAAAAAAACUAGGAUUAGAUACCCUAUUAUAAAAAUGUAAAAUUAUAUAAUUAAAUUAUUAAUAGUUAUGGUCUUUAAAGUUAAAAAUUUUGGCGGUAUUUUAAUCUAUUCAGAGGAACCUGUUCUAUAAUUGAUAAUCCACGAUUAAAAUAACUUAUUUUAUUAAUUUGUAUAUCGUUGUAGUUGAAUAUUUUAUUAGAAAAUAAAUAUUCUAAAUUUUUUAUAUUAAAAUAAAUCAGAUCAAGGUGCAGUUUAUAAGUAAGAAGAAAUGGGUUACAAUAAAUAAUAUUUUUGGAUGAGAUUUUUAAAAAAUUUUUUAAAUUGGAUUUGAAUGUAAUUAAGUUUUAUAUAAAUUUAAUGAUUUUAGUUCUAAAAUAUGCACAUAUCGCCCGUCGCUCUCAUUUAAAUUGAGAUAAGUCGUAACAUAGUAAAUGUACUGGAAAGUGUAUUUAGUUGGUU